UACGUAGGGUGCAAGCGUUAAUCGGAAUUACUGGGCGUAAAGCGUGCGUAGACGGUUAUGUAAGUCGGAUGUGAAAGCCCCGGGCUCAACCUGGGAAUGGCAUUCGAGACUGCAUAGCUAGGAUGCGGAAGAGGGAAGUGGAAUUUCCGGUGUAGCGGUGAAAUGCGUAGAUAUCGGAAGGAACAUCAGUGGCGAAAGCGACUUCCUGGUCCAGCAUCGACGUUCAGGCACGAAAGCGUGGGGAGCAAACAGG
rnacentral:rRNA from 1 species